GGUUGUGUGGCGCAAUGGUAGCGCGUUACUUUCCGGUUCCAAGCACAGCAUCCUGUGUUCUCCAGCUGGUAAAGGUUCUGGGUUCGAGUCCCAGCAUGAUCG